rnacentral:rRNA from 1 species
AUACGGAGGGUGCAAGCGUUACUCGGAAUCACUGGGCGUAAAGCGCGCGCAGGCGGCUAUUUAAGUUGGAUGUGAAAGCCUAUGGCUCAACCAUAGAACUGCAUCCAAAACUAUUUGGCUAGAGUGUGGGAGAGGAAGAUGGAAUUAGUUGUGUAGGGGUAAAAUCCGUAGAGAUAACUAGGAAUACCAAAAGCGAAGGCAAUCUUCUGGAACACUACUGACGCUGAGGCGCGAAAGCGUGGGGAGCAAACGGGAUUAGAAACCCCAGUAGUCC